AUGACUCCAUAAUCAUCAAAGAAUCCUGUCAGUAAGGGCUGAUUUCUUUGCAGUGUUCAUUGGAUUAUUUAAGUCUACAAACCAAUGAUACAAAUGUAAUAUGAAACAAUUGCGAGGAAGCUAAGUGGCAUAUUUUACUCACAGACCAUUUUAUUUGUGCACUGCAGUUUACUUAAAAGUUAUCUACUCAAUAAUCUGAGCCUGCAUGUCCAAUAUGGCUGCCACCAUGCACACAUGGCUGCUUAUAUAUAAAGUAAUUACAGUGAAGUGAAUUGUAAAAUUCAAUUUCUCUGUUGCAGUGGUCACAUUGCAAGUACUCAGUAGCUACCUGAGCCUUUGUGGCACUGUGUUAGUAUCAGGUUUCUAUUAUUCUGCAAAGGGCUAUUGGACAGCUCUUCACAGAGAAGGCUGCACACAGGAAGAGGGAGGAGAGACAGAUGUGACGGCUUUGAGGCAGGCAUGCGAAUUGAUCCAUCCAUGGUUCACUGAAGGCCCCUGGAAAAAGAAUCAGGGAGAGAGCUAAGCAAUGAGAAAAGAAAGAACCUGGAAGGUCACCUCAGCCCCACGCACACAGAUUGUCCUUGGCUAGUUCUUUUCACUUCAUGAAUAUUUAUUCUAUUGCCCCCAGUGAGUCUAUGAAUGGGUCAGUAAAUAAAACUGUCUCUGAAAGAAAACGGCAGAGGUCAGAGGUAGCUCAUGUGGAUCAGUGAUGAGGACCCUGGGCUGUCUGAAUGGAGGGCGUUGACUAAGCCUGUCACUCAGAGGUCCAUCGUGAAAAAUCCCAUUUAUUAUCUCUUUGGGAUAUGAGCUUAGUCUGGCUAUCUAAAAUAACACAGGCUGUGUUCUUGGGCUUCUGUGCACUAACGCAGUGUGUGAAUCACCCAAGAACCCUAUAAAUGAACACUAACAAAUGGGUCAUUGCUCUUUCAAAUAUGUGAGUAGUGUAAUAAGAAUCUUUACUAAUGUAAUUAUGAAACUUGACAUUCUAGCAAUGUAUUGAUCAACUCUGAUGCCAUGGGGCAAGGAACAUUUGGAUAGAUGUUUGUUCUUUUGACAUAUUGUAUGUUUUUUAAAUGGAAGAGCAAAAUAUUUAUUUAAUAUGAGUAUUAAGUAAAUAAAAUCUGAGUAGAAGAGGGCUUAUACAUGGAUCUAGGCUGACAGCUCACCCUAGAUGAACAAUUAUGGUUUCUGUUCCACAUUCCACUGUAUUUCAAUUCUGACCCUCACUUCAAUUUAAAUAAUUAGAAACAUGUGUUAAUCUUUCCAUGACUGAACCUAUAAUGUAAUCUGGAAUUAAUCUAUUGUUCCAUUUUUGUGGAAUCACAGUCGUAAUGGCAUUCUCAUAAAUGAGAAAGGACAUUACUAUCUCAAUCGAGCUAAGGUGCAGGACCUUUGAGUAUGAUAGAAGUGGAUAGUUACAGUACCACUUAAAUUGGAGAAACCUAAUAAACGGAGCCCCUCACAUUUUUCCUAUUUUUUCCUACUAUUUAUUUAUUUAGACAUAAUACAAUAUUAUAAAGUCUUUGUUUUGUUCCUUGAAGUUGCAACCAUAUAUAUAUAUAUAUAUAUAUAUAUAUAUAUAUAUAUAUAUAUAUUAAUUGCACAGGCACCUGCGGAGAUACCUUGCCUAGGUCCCGUCAGAAUAUUUCACUCUUGACAGACCCAUGAACCAAUCUUGGUGUUCAUGCUUAUGUCUAGUCUGCAGUUAUACAAAAGUUAUUACUUAUUGUAAUCUCAGUGGCUUUGCCAGUGAGCUUAUUCCGUAGUCCCAUCGAUUUUUUUUUUUUUUUUUUGAGCUAUAAUAAUCGGAGUUUUUUUGGCUAUAAAAAUCUGAGUUUAGACUUGAGCUUCCUAUCUGACCAUCUAUACAAUGAAGAAUUAAUUUUCAUUUUUGUACUGCUUUGUCCUCAGAAUGCAUACACAAGUACCCAUUGUUGUCAGGUUAGGGAGGAAUGGAUGUUUAUCAUUCUGAGUCCUCUUUGCUCAUAAUUGCUGGCUUCCCAGUUUACUGUCAGUCUCUGUUCUAGUAUCAGAGGGG
ensembl:lincRNA